rnacentral:rRNA from 1 species
GCUGGAAGAUUAAAUGAUGGGGUGCAAGCUCUUGAUUGAAGUCCCAGUAAACGGCGGCCGUAACUAUAACGGUCCUAAGGUAGCGAAAUUCCUUGUCGGGUAAGUUCCGACCUGCACGAAUGGAGUAACGAUGGCCACACUGUCUCCUCCCGAGACUCAGCGAAGUUGAAGUGUUUGUGAUGAUGCAAUCUACCCGCGGCUAGACGGAAAGACCCCAUGAACCUUUACUGUAGCUUUGCAUUGGACUUUGAACCAAUCUGUGUAGGAUAGGUGGGAGGCUUUGAAGCGGGGACGCCAGUUCUCGUGGAGCCAUCCUUGAAAUACCACCCUGGUUUGUUUGAGGUUCUAACCUUGGUCCGUUAUCCGGAUCGGGGACAGUGCAUGGUAGGCAGUUUGACUGGGGCGGUCUCCUCCCAAAGUGUAACGGAGGAGUUCGAAGGUACGCUAGGUACGGUCGGACAUCGUGCUAAUAGUGCAAUGGCAUAAGCGUGCUUAACUGCGAGACUGACAAGUCGAGCAGGUACGAAAGUAGGACAUAGUGAUCCGGUGGUUCUGUAUGGAAGGGCCAUCGCUCAACGGAUAAAAGGUACUCUGGGGAUAACAGGCUGAUUCCUCCCAAGAGUUCAUAUCGACGGGGGAGUUUGGCACCUCGAUGUCGGCUCAUCACAUCCUGGGGCUGUAGCCGGUCCCAAGGGUAUGGCUGUUCGCCAUUUAAAGUGGUACGUGAGCUGGGUUUAAAACGUCGUGAGACAGUUUGGUCCCUAUCUGCCGUGGGCGUUGGAAAUUUGAAGGGGGCUGCUCCUAGUACGAGAGGACCGGAGUGGACGAACCUCUGGUGUACCGGUUGUCACGCCAGUGGCAUUGCCGGGUAGCUAAGUUCGGAAGAGAUAACCGCUGAAAGCAUCUAAGCGGGAAACUUGCCUUAAGAUGAGAUUUCCCGGAGCCUUGAGCUCCUUGAAGGGUCGUUCGAGACCAGGACGUUGAUAGGCUGGGUGUGGAAGUGCAGUAAUGCAUUAAGCUAACCAGUACUAAUUGCCCGUAAGGCUUGUCCCU